UAGGUGACUUGCCCCGAAGAUGGGGAUAACCUCUGGAAACGGGGGCUAAUACCCAAUGUGCUCGGUGAUUCGGUUGAUCGAGUAAAGCUCCGGCGCUUCGGGAGAGGCCUGCGGCCCAUCAGCUAGUUGGUAGGGUAACGGCCUACCAAGGCAGAGACGGGUAGGGGGCGUGAGAGCGCGGACCCCCACACUGGCACUGCGACACGGGCCAGACUCCUACGGGAGGCAGCAGUAAGGAAUAUUGCGCAAUGGACGAAAGUCAGACGCAGCGACGCCGCGCGGGCGAUGAAGGCCUUCGGGUUGUAAAGCCCUUUUAUGGGGGAAGAGAAAAAGGACGGUACCCCAUGAAUAAGUCCCGGCUAACUACGUGCCAGCAGCCGCGGUAAAACGUAGGGGACAAGCGUUAUCCGGAUUCACUGGGCGUAAAGAGCGUUGAGGCGGUUCCGUAAGUUGGGCGUGAAAGCUCCGGGCUUAACCCGGAGAUGUCGUUCAAUACUGCGGGGCUUGAGGACAGCAGAGGAAGGUGGAAUUCCCGGUGUAGUGGUGAAAUGCGUAGAUAUCGGGAGGAACACCCGUGGCGAAGGCGGCCUUCUGGGCUGUUCCUGACGCUGAAGGCGAAAGCUAGGGGAGCGAACGGGAUUAGAUACCCCGGUAGUCCUAGCUGUAAACGAUGGAUGCUGGGUGUGGGGGGUGUAAAUUCCCUCUGUGCCGAAGCAAACGCGUUAAGCAUCCCGCCUGGGGACUACGGCCGCAAGGCUAAAACUCAAACGAAUUGACGGGGGCCCGCACAAGCAGCGGAGCGUGUGGUUUAAUUCGAUGCUACACGAAGAACCUUACCUGGGUUUGACAUGCACGUGGUAGGGAACCGAAAGGGGACCGACCUUCGGGAGCGUGCACAGGUGCUGCAUGGCUGUCGUCAGCUCGUGCCGUGAGGUGUCGGGUUAAGUCCCGUAACGAGCGCAACCCUUGCCCUUAGUUACAAGUGUCUAAGGGGACUGCCCGGGACAACUGGGAGGAAGGUGGGG
rnacentral:rRNA from 1 species